CCUCGCCUUAGCAGCUCGCAGCCGAGCGAGCGGGGCAGCCGCCGCCCGUGACGAGCGAAGGCGAAGAUCUUAUCGGCAGAAGGAAGUCCCGAGCCGCCGGGCUGCUCUUCUUUGAAGCCGCCGCGUUUACCAGGUGAAAUGGUCUCCUGCUGUAAAGCACAUUCACUCCUGUUUUGUGUCCUGUGGAAAGGGAAGCAUACACAGCCACUUCCACAUCCAAAUAACUAACAAGCCACCUGCCUGUGUACAUCAUGCUUAGAGGACUGGAGCACCUGUUGUACGAGGACAGGCUGAGAGAGCUGGACCUGUUUAGUGUGGAAAAGAGAAGACUAAGGGGAGACCUCAUUGAUGUGUAUAAAUAUCUGAGGGAAGGUUGUCGAGAGGGUGGAGGUAGUCUCUUUUCAGUUGUGCCCAGCAACAGAUUGAGAGGCCCUGGGCACAAACUGAAGCAUGGGAAAUUCCGGCUAAGUAUGAGGGGGCACUUCUUUACUGUGAGGGUGACAGAGGUUGCCCAUAAAGGUUGUGGAGUCUCCUUCUCUGGAGAUAUUCAAAACCUGCCUGGAUGUCAUCCUAUGCAAUUUGCUUUAGGUGAUCCUGCUCAGCAGGGAAUUGGACUAGAUGACCUCUAGAGGUCCCUUCCUACCUCGGCCAUUCUGUGAUCAGGAAAGGGUAAGUGAUUCCUGCUAACAGGACCGCAUACAAAAGGCUUCUUUAAGGCAAACAUAACACAAUUGUAAAAGAUCUUUUAGGGUUUGGCAUUUAAAGUAAAUGACAUUAAACAAGAUGGAAAAGAGACAAGACAGGAAUUCAUGUAAAAUCAAAAGAAGAUCAGGAAAACUGUCAGAUGGAUCUCAGACUACUAGCAAACACUUCUUUGCAGAACACAGAGUAGAACAUGUAGCACUGGGAUCUUGCUGGUUUGGGAUUCUGCCAGAGCAUUUCAUAGGUAUUAGCCAGCCUUGAAUUUCCCACCACACUCAGUGAACACUCAGGCUGAUCAUUACAGCUACUGUGAGUCAUUUUGUCAGUUCAGGUGCCACAGGUCCGUGGGAUGGAUUGAAUGAUUCCAGUCCUAGUAAUGAUCCAUGUGGGUGUGAGCACGCCACAUGAUGGAACGUCUGUGGUUUUGAGUCUUGGAAAUUAUAGGCAAGACAGUUUGUAGGUAAAGGCAGCAUUUUCUAUCAGGCCAACUAGCACAGCUGGAAGGCAAGGUUUGGGGUAGACUUGAAGAGAGUUUCUGCAGAGAAUCACAGAAUCAUGAAGUGAAUUAGUUUGGAAGGGAACUCAGGUAGUCUGUAUUCCAACUUACUGCCCAAAGCAUGACCAGCUGUGGGACCAGACUUGGUUGUGAAGGGCUUUAUCUGGUUGAGUCUUGAAAGAUUGGAAGUCUGAAGACUGCACAGUCUCUGUGGAUAAUGUGUUGCAAUGUUUGACUAUUCUCAUGUUUUGCUUUUGCUAAAUAAUAAUAAUAAUAAUUAAAAAAAAAAAAAAAAAAAGAUUUUUCCUUAUACCAAAUUAGAUCUUCUCUUGUUUCAGUUUGUCUCAAAGUCCUGCCAUACACUGGUGUGAAGAGCCUGGUUCCUUCUCAAUAAGCUUCUCAGAAGCAUUAUCAGUCUGUAGUUACAUUGCUAAUUACUCACAUCACACACAUUGAUGUGAGUCCUCUUGGACACCUCGAGGUGCAGGAUUCUGCCUUUGUCAUGAGUUUCAUAAAAGUUCUUGUCAGUGUAAUCCUUCAUUCUGGCUAAGGCUUUCUGGGUGGCAGUCCUGCCCUCAAGCACACUGGCUUGUCCUCCUGGUUUGAUGCUGCUUGCAAACUUGACAAGAAUGCACUCUUGGACUGCUGAGACAGUGUUAAAAAGGGCUGGUCCCAGGAUAGACCACUGUGCUACUUACUGCCAGACUUGUUAGUGUACAACAUGUACCCUCUGAGCCUAACCAUUCAAAUGGCUUUUUACCCAUCUAGUUGUACAUCCUUCCAGACCUCAGUGUCACAAAUUGAACACAAAGAUAUUGCGGGAAACAGUGUUGAAAGCUUUAUUAAAGCUAAGAAAUAGCAACAUCUGGAAAUCUGUCUACUUUAUCCUUUAUUAUACUAGUUGGCCUAAUAAAAGGCAUUAUCUCUACCUACAGAUCUUGUCUUGCCUAUGUCUGUAAGCCAUUGCAGUUAUGACAGUGUUACCACUGCCCAUUGGAGAACUGUAAUCCAAAAUGAAGAAAUUCAUUUGUGUCAUUGCAUGUAUGGAUGUCUAUUGCCUUUAACUAUAAAGCAAGGUACAAUUUCCAUCAUAGCACCUCUGCUUCAUUCAGAUCAUAGUGUGGAUAUGUAAAAAGAGCAAAUAAGGAAGCAUAUUGAUGAGAGUUAUUUUCAACAGCUUUGGCUCCAGAAGUUGGAUUGCAUGAGACCAUUAAGGAAGGAGGAAUGUACAAGUAAAAACAUGGUCUGGUGGCUGAGAUAAAUGUAAUUUAUCAUUAGUUGUUCAUGCAGAUAAUUUGCAAGUUGCUAGUGGACAAGUCUUGCACUUUCAGCUAUAUAUAACUAAACGAUUGAAACAGGUGGUUUUGGUUUUAAUCUGGAAGACUUUAGAUAAUGGAGUAAAAUGACUUGUUCCAGCAAGAGAGCAAUGAACGUAUAUGUUGAUAAUAUAGGGAGACAUCAAGUCUAGUAAGUUAGAAAAUGCAAUUUGCUGGUGGCAUUCUGAGUAGGAGCAUGCUUUGAUUUUUGUUUGAGUCUCAGUCCUACAAGUAAUAUCUUGGCCUUUCUAUUGAGUAAAGAUUUUGUUUUCCUAUUUAGAAGAAUGCUGAAAUACAGUCAGCACUGGUCAUCAGCCUAGAAGGAAGACUUGACUACCUUGCAUCCAUGUGCAGCUGUUUCAGAAGUAGCACAAAGUGGGUUUGUCUUUGAGAUAUUAUGAUAUUGCAAUACAGAGUGAGAGGUAAUGAUAUUGCUAACUGCAGUCUGUUCUGCAUCACCAAAACCAAAAGUAGGUUUAAUUCUAGCAACAAGGAAAUACAAAGCUCAUAUUUACUGUAAGUGAGUCCAAGAGCAGUGUCGUCAUAACUUCUACUUUAUGUCUUAUAGCAGCCCAUAGCGCUUACUUUUAUUGUCUUUCAGAAUUAAAAUAUUUCAUCAGUUUUGAUUCAGGUCACCAAGAUGCUUAUGUGUGCGUACAAUUUAUGAAUUGAUUUUGGUAAGAAUUGUACAAAAAUGCCACCUCCCCCCCCCAAGCAAACAAACAAACAAACAAACAAAAAACACUAAAUUACUGCAACAUCUUUUUUCUUAAAAUGCAUGCAAGUGAAAUAUGGGAAGAAAAAGUGAUAAACGUGUGGUACCUUGAAACAAAUUAUGUCCAGAAACUGUGAGAAUCAAGGUACAGAAAGGAAAAGCAUAACAGUGCUACUGAGAAUGCCUCUUUUUCAUUUACCAUCUGCUUUAAUAGAACAAAACUGCUGCUUGAACAGGAUGUAGAUAACAUCAUCCUCAAUGUUCCUUUGUAAACAUUUUCCAAGGAGACAGUGAUUAGCUACUUCCUUCACAGGAUAUUUCCUGGUCAGCAGCAAGAGGCAAGACACCAUUCAGUAGAAAUAUAUAAGUGUAUUGUUUUAACAUUUUUAAAGUGGUUUCACAGAUAAAUUGUUGUGGAUCUGACAGUACAUUUGAAAGUUUGACAGGAUGAAAGUCAGGCUAUGUGAAAUGUAUUUUUAUUUUAAUAUAUUUAUAGCUUAAUGUAAUACUUCCUUUAAAAAUCUGUUUAGCAAAUAACAACUAAAAUUGCAGUGAUCCUUUGAGCUGGAAAGAAAUGUAGAUACAUGAUUUCCAUCAGAGACAGCUGCUUCAAAAUUUGCAAACAGUGCAAAAUUUCAUUUUGCUGCUGCAGGCUUGAAGGCCAGUCUUAAUGAUGUUGCCUUCUUUAUUAGCAGUGACAGAGGUGUUGUGUGAAGAAACAAGAGUGAAAGAUGAGGAGAAAUAAGGAGUAAUCACAGGGGUUUCACAGGAUGUGGGUGUGUAGGGAGUGGUAUUUCUCUUUGCUGCCUUUUCUGACUGAUCUAAUCUGCAGGGCAGAAAAGUUUUCCAAGGGGAUUUCACCCUGAAGUGCAAGGUGGUGCUGAUUUGAACCAAACACUGGAUUAAGUGCUGAAAAUGUAGGUGGACAUGAUACACCACAUAGAUAAGGUCCUCUCCCAGGGGACUUUCUUUCCUUUUGUAUUGCUUUAGAGGAAAUGUUCUUUUCCCUUCUAACCUGGUUUUGCUUGCCCAUCUCUCUCCUCUCAGUAUGCUCAGUAUGUGAGUCAGCUGGGGAAGAGAGGAGGUGAGAGGACAGGAGAGGAGGAGCAGCAUCCCUCAAACCUGUUCCAGCCACCCAUGGAGCUCCUGGUGCUGGAGGAUCAGUAGGAAGCACAACAGGGCUGGGAACAAAGGCAGGGUGGAUGCAGCUAGUGGCAGCCCAAGGUUUUCUGUCUUCUGUUGCUAUUGAUACAAGAAUUAAUGUAAGUUGAAUGUUAUUUAAAAUAAAAGAAUCAUAGAAUGGCUUGGGUUGGAAGAGACCUUAAAGAUCACCUAGUUUCAACUCCCCUGCCAUGGCAAUGUCUUAUCUGGGGGCUGAAUAUGGUAAGCUUACCAGCCAUAUGUAUAAAUAAAGAGAAAGAUUAAUCUUUCCAGGACUCCAUUUGUCUGUUAUGUUCUCAGGAAGGGAAUGUAAGACUUGUUCCUCAGUUUGUUGGACUCAAAAAAAACUUGGCAAUAAAUUAGGUUGGGAACAGAAUCAGGCAGAUGAAUGCAGUAAGGAAAUUUUUGAGUAAGCUCAGAGAUAAUGGGCCACCUUCAUUUGUGGUCCAUUGUGGCUAGAUAUAAAAUGAAUACAGGCAAACUGUUAACUACCUAGACCUAAAAUCAUCCAAGCUUUUUUCUGAACUCCUAAGACCUUUUCCUUCUCCUCUCAGUUUUGUCUCUCCUCACCUUCCCUGCUUUAAAACAAAAUGUAUUGUUUCCUGUUUUACAGGACCGCUCAGAAUAGCAAUAUUGUCAAGCAUUGCCGUUGCUUUCUGGAUUAGAAACAUUAUCAGUUGCUGGCUUCAGUUUUAAUCAGGGAGAGUAGUUGAAGCAAUUCUGAACAGAAUGUAAUUGCAAACAUCUACCAAAAAAAAUAUUCAAUACCAUAUCAAUAGUUGUAUGAUUUGAAAGUAUUUAGGCACCAGUUCAACAAACACAUUUAAACCCACUCUUAUUUUAAAAUUACAGGCAGGGAGAGACUUAGUCACAUGCAGAAAAUUAAACUGGUUUAAAAGAAGUCCGUACUUGCUAGGAGCAAUAUAAGGAGUUCUUAUGAACACCUAGCCCUUCUUAUGAAGACCUAGACAUUGUUAGCUUCAGGAACUUAUACUCUAAUUAUUGGUGUCUCUGUGAACAUCCAACCUAGAAAGCAAGGUACAGUUAUCAAGAUGUGCUGUACAUGUCUAGUGCUAAGAUGUCUGCCAGUCAGGUUACAAGAGGGUUAGGUAAAGUACCCAAGACUUCUUGUAGAUUCAACUGGAUGGGAUUAUGGAAAUAGUUAGUUUGCAACUUUUUAUUUUGUCAAUGCCAAAAUUUUAUCAAUGUCAAAUUUUGUCAAUAAAAAACAGUUAAUAGUGCCCUUCUAUAAUAUCUUUGAAAGUUUUUAAAAUCCUGUGUUAGGAACAUGAACAAUGAAGUCUUAUGACAAUGUGAAAAUAGUCUGGUAGUGAAAGUUAGAGAUUCUAUCGCUGUCUAAAAGUGGUAGUUUGGGUGGGUUUUCUCUUCUCGCAUCUACCUGUCCUAUUUCAUUGCUUCUUUGGAAUUUUGAAGGCAAGGGUUGCUAAUGGUUUUUUAGGGUGACUCACAGGUUAAAAAAAAUGAUUUGUGCCAUUUCCUUGUCAAAUACAAGCAUAUUUUUAAAAAUGAGUUUAAAGUUAGUGGUAUCUAUCUUUGAAAAGUCAGAAAACCAAAGGGGAAGGGGGAAAAACAUUGUCAGUAAAUUGUGUAAAUAACGAGUCAGAGUAACUUGAACUAAUAUUUU